AAUCCCAUGGGAUUUUUUUUUGUCCCAUGGGAUUAUUGUAGUCCCAUGGGACAAAAAAAAUCCCAUGGGAUU
rnacentral:sRNA from 1 species